GCUCCUGCAAAGAAAAAUCAAAAUGCCCAUUGAUGAACCUUUGUAUGAGUACAAAUCUUGUAUAUAAAUGUACUGUGCACACAAGGGGAGGACCAUAAUUUUACAUUGGGCAAAUGGCUGAUUCAUUUAAGAAUUGUUAUCACAACUAUGUCACCAGCUUCAAGAGAAUCAAUAAGAGACAUUCAGCAUCUUUGGCUGAUUUUGUGUGGCGACUGAAAGGAGAUAAAAUUAAGUAUGACAUAACUUGGUCCAUAGUAAGGCACACAAAACCAUACAAUAUCAUUUCCAGGAGAUACCAACUCUGCUCCGAGGAAUCCCUGUCUAUUCUGUGGACCAAUGAGAUGCCACACCCUG